rnacentral:rRNA from 1 species
UGGGGAAUUUUGGACAAUGGGCGAAAGCCUGAUCCAGCAAUGCCGCGUGUGUGAAGAAGGCCUUCGGGUUGUAAAGCACUUUUGUCCGGAAAGAAAUCCUUGGCUCUAAUACAGUCGGGGGAUGACGGUACCGGAAGAAUAAGCACCGGCUAACUACGUGCCAGCAGCCGCGGUAAUACGUAGGGUGCAAGCGUUAAUCGGAAUUACUGGGCGUAAAGCGUGCGCAGGCGGUUUGCUAAGACCGAUGUGAAAUCCCCGGGCUCAACCUGGGAACUGCAUUGGUGACUGGCAGGCUAGAGUAUGGCAGAGGGGGGUAGAAUUCCACGUGUAGCAGUGAAAUGCGUAGAGAUGUGGAGGAAUACCGAUGGCGAAGGCAGCCCCCUGGGCCAAUACUGACGCUCAUGCACGAAAGCGUGGGGGAGCAAACAGGAUUAGAUACCCUGGUAGUCCACGCCCUAAACGAUGUCGACUAGUUGUUGGGGACUUCAUUUCCUUAGUAACGUAGCUAACGCGUGAAGUUGACCGCCUGGGGAGUACGGUCGCAAGGUUAAAACUCAAAUGAAUUGACGGGGUCAUAGCUGUUUCCU